rnacentral:tRNA from 1 species
GCCGCGGUGCCGCAGUCGCGCUCGCGUCCUUCGACGACGCGACCAUCGACUCGCUCACCCGGUUCCACGCCGGGCCGGAGCA